rnacentral:rRNA from 1 species
GACGAACGCUGGCGGCGUGCUUAACACAUGCAAGUCGAACGGUAAGGCCCUUCGGGGUACACGAGUGGCGAACGGGUGAGUAACACGUGGGUGAUCUGCCCUGCACUUCGGGAUAAGCCUGGGAAACUGGGUCUAAUACCGGAUAGGACCACUGCCUGCAUGGGUGGUGGUGGAAAGCUUUUGUGGUGUGGGAUGGGCCCGCGGCCUAUCAGCUUGUUGGUGAGGUAACGGCUCACCAAGGCGACGACGGGUAGCCGGCCUGAGAGGGCGACCGGCCACACUGGGACUGAGACACGGCCCAGACUCAUACGGGAGGCAGCAGUGGGGAAUAUUGCGCAAUGGGCGAAAGCCUGACGCAGCAACGCCGCGUGAGGGAUGACGGCCUUCGGGUUGUAAACCUCUUUCAGCAGGGAAGAAGCGAAAGUGACGGUACCUGCAGAAGAAGCACCGGCUAACUACGUGCCAGCCGCCGCGGUAA